GAUGAACGCUGGCGGCGUGCUUAAUACAUGCAAGUCGAACGAAGAGUCUUUGUAGCAAUACGAGGGCUUCUUAGUGGCGAACGGGUGCGUAACGCGUUGGUGACCUGCCCCGAAGUGUGGGAUAACAGUUCGAAAGGACUGCUAAUACCGCAUGUGGCCACGAGGGUUAGAGGCUUUGUGUCUAAAGCAGUAAUGCGCUUUGGGAGGGACCUGCGUCCCAUCAGCUAGUUGGUGAGGUAACGGCCCACCAAGGCUACGACGGGUAGGGGACCUGAGAGGGUGGUCCCCCACACUGGCACUGAAACACGGGCCAGACACCUACGGGUGGCAGCAGUAGGGAAUAUUGGGCAAUGGGCGAAAGCCUGACCCAGCAACGCCGCGUGCAUGAUGAAGGUCUUCGGAUCGUAAAAUGCUUUUCUGAGAGAUGAGAAAGGACAGUAUCUCAGGAAUAAGUCUCGGCUAACUACGUGCCAGCAGCCGCCGUAACAC
rnacentral:rRNA from 1 species